AUCCUGGUCCACUCCGCAGAGGCCCGAGCGGGCUCGCGAGGGAACGGGUUCUCCGAGUCUGGCCGGGUAAGCCCUUUCCAGCACGCCUAGUAUUAGGAUUCUGCACAUAGCUCGGGUGGAAAACCGUGAGGCUUAGUGAGGCUUGAGGCGGAGGGGGGAGGAGCUCAGUCCCGGCGAACCCAUCUUGCUUUCUUGGAGAAACUGAGACCGGGAUACUGGAUCUGUUAUUCAUCCAUCCGUUCCUCCCACCCUAAGCCUGAUUCUCGUCUGCUCCUGCCUUCCUGUUCCUUCAUCCGUUCUGCCCUUCCUGCCCUCAAUUCUCUCACUCACGGAUUCCCUCGUCUAGCCACUCACUCACACACUCUCCCACCUAUUAGUUAGACAAACAUUUCCUGAGGCUUCUGGUGUGCCAAGCCUCGUGCUGGGCGAUGCUGGUGACCAAGAUGAGUCAGGCCUGGGCCGUGCCCUCAAGGAGCCCGGGUCAGAUGGGAGGAUGGACGUUGAUGGGCAUGGGUGUGCGGAGACGGUGGGAGCCCAGGAGAGACUUUUUUGAGUUUGGCGUGGUCGGGAAAGGGUUUCCAGGGGAGGGGCCAUUGGAGCUGGAUCUUGGAGGAGCAGAAGGUGCCAGGCAAAGUGGAGAUGCCAGGCAAAAUGGGUGUGGGGAGGGUGUUUCAGCGUGACCAAAGACAGGGAGGCAUGCAGGAGCAGUACUGCGUGCAGGUGCCUAAGCGGAAGGCCAGUCAAGUCUGUAUGGCCAGCAGGGGAACUGUAAGGCUGGAGGAGGCCGAAGAGAUGAGCAGAGGCCAGGCUGAGGAGCUUGGACUUUGUCCUGAGGGUGAGGGGGUAGUGGAGAGCCAUGGAAGGGUUGAGAGUAGUGGAGGACAAGGUCAUAGUUGGUCCAGAACUGGAGGAAUGAGACUGGAAGCCAGUAGCCCAGGAGGUGGCUCUGGCAGGGAUUCAGGUAGGAGAGAGUGGAGCCUGGAUCAGGGAAGAGGCCGAGGGGAUAAGAUAGAGAUUCAGGAGGCAAGGCUUGGUGCUGUGGCUCGUGUCUGUAAUCCCAGCACUUUGGAAAGUUGAGGCGGGAAGAUCACUUGAGCCAAGGAGUUCAAGACCAGCCUGGGCAACAUAGUGACAGCCUCAUCUCUAC
rnacentral:lncRNA from 1 species